rnacentral:lncRNA from 1 species
GCCCAUCCUCCUGACCUGACUUUAACUUAAUUACCUCUUAAAAACCCUGUCUCCAAAUAAGGUCACCCUCUGAGGUGCUGUGGGUUAGGGGUUCACCAUGUACCUUGGUGAAGGGAGGAGAAACAAUUCAGCCCAUAACACAACCAAACAGGCAUUUCUUAACCAGUUGCUCAUCUUGUUUCUGCAACUGCUGUGCUAGUUUGAAAAGCAGUAGAUGAAGCCACACGGAGGGAGGCACUGGAUGGAGAAUGUUGCCCGCAGCUUUGAGCAGAGAGAUGGCUGCACACCCGGAGGGAAGCUAGAACAACCUAGAGCAAAAAUAGUGACUGGCAGGGGUGGGUAACGCCAUCUGAUUCGUCCAGGGAGACGUGGAUUUUUGGUAGCGUGCUUAUGAGUCACUGUGUUGUGUCCUGCACUGUGUACAGGGCACGGAGAUUAUUGCCACCACCGAUGACUGUGCAGCUUGAGGUAUCGAUACACUGGACUGUUCAGAGGAAAAAAUAGCUACUUGUUCUUCUAUCAAGUAGGGCAGGCAGGAGGACACAGGCAGGACUGCAUCCUAAAAAUAGCCCCACACCCGCUUGGAGAGCUCCAGCAGCUCAGCCCGGGGUGCAUGGGGCAGCUCCUGGUAGAAGCUACUUUUACUUCACCAUGAGACUUUGAGAAUCUGAACUUGCAGGAAGAGGGUUGUAGUGUAUUUUUGUAUACUUUUCUGAUUUCCCUUAAGCGAUGGGGGAGAUUGGGUUUUCUCUGUAAGGACAGUGUAGGUUCAUGGCUGUUUCUUAGUGGAAUGUGCCCAUGUGGACACUAAGCUGAAGUCUGAAUGAAGGCCUGACACCCACAACCUGGUCAGUGUCUCCCUUCUCAUCGUCAGGAAGAGACUCGUCCACACCCAGGUUUAGAAGGAAGGCAGCCUCACUAGUACCAUGUCAGAGGCAGAUAAGACACCAGCAGAAAUGGCUUUUAUAGUUCAGGAAACAAAACAGACACUUGUGGCAGGGAUUUUGAGCCCCACUUUGGAGCUCCUAGAAUCAGAGGUUGUUGCUGCCCUAGAUGUGUUGAUGUAGUCGGGAGGGGAGAGGACGGCUGGCCACAAGUGUUAGUCCUUUCUUCUCUGCCAGUGGUUCCCAACCCUGGCAGCACAUUAGAUGCCCUGAGGAGUGUGCAGAUUAUUUCAGUACCAGGGCUGUCCCCUCAAAGACUCAGACUUUGUGGUCUAGGAUCAGGCCCUGACAGAGGCUGGUCCAAAGAGCUCCUCAUGAUUCUAAUGGGCAGCCCGGGUUGGAAAAGCUGCCUGACGCUGGCCAUGGUCCACCUCCUCCCUCCCCACCCAUCUGGCAGACACAGCCUCACCCACCAGUAACCACAGCCCAGAGCUUCAGAAGUGGUGAUAAUUAAUCCCCCCAACCUCCCCACCCCACCUGGCUCACACUCCCUGUCCUAGGUCAACCCUGACUCAGCGCCUUCAAAGCCCGACUUCUGUAGAGAUGCCAUCCUAAAGCCAGCCUUCCUCCCUGGACUGCUUAUGUAGACUACGAGGGAGUGUAAACCCUGAAAAAGAAAAUGUAGGGAUGAUUCCCUCCACCCUCGAUGAGACGCAGCUGCGGAGGGUGGUGUGAGCAGACCCUCCAGAGCCGUGGCUGACAAAUUAAUACAGCACGGGAAUCGAGUGCCUCCCGUCAUGCAGGAACUUCCUAGGCAUCAUUGGGGGAUCAGAUACACAUCAAGUGCCUGCCACAGGGAACGUACCCUCUAAUGGGGAGAAGACAAAACCCUUCACAUUUGCUUUUGACCUGCCAAGUGGCUUCACAAGUAUCUUUUUGUUAAUAUUUAGGAAAUAUCCAUGGAUCUGACAAUAGACAGUGGCCUGGGUAUAUAGUGGGGACAUGGGCACAGUGGGGUCCUGGGAUCAGCAGGGUCUUCAGAAAUUCCAAGUGAUGUUCUUAGAGGAAACACUCUACUUAAGGGUGAUUGAGACUCGACAUUAACAUGGGGCAUUAGUCACUCAGUGUUUUUUGGAAUACGGUUUCAUUGCUGAUAAAUGGAAAGGCCAGGCAUGCCCCCACACUGACCAAGAAGUUGUAGUAAUGGCAGAAAUGUUUCCAGUAAUGUCUACACUUUCCUACUCAGUAAGUCGGCAAGCUAAGCUAAGGUUUAAUUGUUCAGUUAUUUUCUCAUUGUUACACACAUCAUUCAUUCAUUCACUGAGCACUGUAGUGACGUUGCCCUUGGCAUUCCCAUGACGACCCUUCCCCAUUCUGCGUAACGUCUGCGACCCUCCCCUGGUCCUCUCCCUGGCCUGCUAAUCCCACAAGGCUGGGAGGAAACCAGCUGAGUGGGAGGACCAAGGACACCGGACUGGGAGAGCAGAUUUGGGACCAAUCAGGUGGCAGAGGAUUGUGAGAUGAGGGCAGGUGUGUCUGCAGAAGCCAGAAGAAGCUGCCCGACCUUGCCCCUUACCUGGCCAGCAGGGCUGGGCAUGGUCAGGGAGCCACACUCACCGAGCCUCUUCUAUUCCUAUUCUUCAGUGCUAGGCUCUCCUCUCCCGCUCUCUUCCUCUCCAGCCCUGUGCUCCUGCCUCGUGGGUGCCUGUCCUCUGCUUGGAUUCCUGCAGUGCCCCCAUCCAGUCUCUCUGUCCCUGUCCAUCCUCCCUGAUGCCACCUGCAUGGCUCCUCUAAAAUGCAGACCUAGCUUUAUCACAUCUGGUUAUGAACCUUAUGAAAUAGAGCUCAAGUUUCCCAGCACUGUACAGCCAUGAUGGCAUUCCUGCAUCCGCCACAGCCCCCACUGAGGCUCCUCUUCCACCAGCCCCUUCUGCCUGGAAGCCCCUCUUGCCCAUCUUCACCAGGUGAGUCCCUGGCCAUCCUUAAAAACCCUGCCCAGAUGCCCCAACUUCUCUGCAAACAGCUCCUCAACCACUCCUUCAAUAAAAGCGAUGACUUCCUCCUCUGAACUGCAGAGGAGGAAGCUCGGCAUUGUUUAGAAAAAGUUCAUUUCUGUGCUUAUCCUGCCAGUUUACAUAAUUACAACUGUAUUGCCCCUUCUCUUUGCUAAAUGUCCAACACUUUGUUUGUGCCAAAUAGAUGUUUGCCACAAGAUCUGUUUCCCUGAGCAGACUCCCCAUCCUCUUCAUUUUGCCCCUUCUUGCGAUGCAACAGGAAGAAACUGAGGCUUGCUGAGGUUGAAUCAUGCACAGAGCUGAGCUGCCACCAGGCAACCAGUCCAGUGCCAGAGCCACCUGGUCCUGAGGAGGUGUCUAGUUGGCAAGUACCACGUGUAGCAUUAUUGUUCCUCAUGGCACAUAUGGAUGUUAGGAAUGCCUCUGCAGUUCCAUGGUGCAUGGUUUUCCUACAAUACUCAGAAUCAAUCCACGAGAGGACGGAUGGUGCAUCCAUCAAGUCUGACACAUGGUACGGAAUUAUCAGCAACGUUGGACAAAUAUAUUGGCCCAGAUUCAUCAUAAGCUCCUUGUAUUGAUUGAGCAAAAUCGAUGAAUGUGUUAAUUGCUUCAAACCGUAGGAGAAAGAUAAUUAUUACAGCUUUAUUUAUUUUGUAUAUGAAAGGGAAAGGCAUUUUAGAGAUUCUGAAAAUAACUCAAGAAAGAAGUGCUUUUUGAACAUAAUUGUUACAUUGGUAAAAUCACUCAGAUUGAAGGAAUGUCUACCUUAAAAUAAUUUCUCUAAAAUAAAUACUAAUUCUUCAUCACAGUAUUUGGCAGGCAUUCUCGAGGUGUUUGACUGAGUUCUUUGAUGAAGGAGCUAAGGAAAUACUGUCUGGUAAAGGAUCAGUUACACGUAAAGUUGAAUUGUCCUCAGCUCACUUGGAAAUUGAAGGGAAAAUUUCCAGAAAAAUAUUUGAAGGGUAAUUCUCAUUUUUUGAUCUUGAAGAUCAGACAUUUGCAAAUAUCAGAAUAUGGAGUUACAGAACUUAUUACAUUUUGGUUCUAAUAAAAAGCUGUGAUUAAUAUUUUAUGAAUUUGGACAUUUUGUGCACAAAAUUAUUAAACCAAUUAUUUUUGCCUUACGGAUCAAUAUGUAUGUAUUAGGGUGAUUACUUAGUGUCAGAUUGGGUGCCCAUAUUGCUUCCCGUAAGAUGUCUGUCAGGAAUUGGAUAUAACUAUACCAAGUAAAGAUCAAUUGCUGCUAGGAUUAAUUUGUGCUGGAGUCCCUCAUGAUUAGUGACAUAUGCUACUCAACUCUGCUUCUCAGCCAAGGAAAAAUAAAAAUACCAUAGUGGAAACUUCACCAGAAUUGAGUGAGUUACAAGCUUAAAUUAACUGUAACUAGUUGAGUAUUAGAAGCCUUUAAAAUGUAACUUUUUAAGAGUCAUCAAAAUACUAAAUGAAUCAUAAUGUAUUUAACCUGGCUUUGUGCAAGGAGGCUGUUCUUUAUCAGAGCCCUCUCCUGCAGCGCACAUGUGCCUGCGUCUGACAGCACCUCUCGGGUGGGAGCCUUCCUCCUCCAGGUUGGGUGGGAGAGAAGAGCACAGCAAAGCCAGGGGCCUUGUCCACAGUAGCGGGUUAGGAUCCUCCAGGGGAAGUGCCUUCAUCCAAUGUGAACAAUGCCUAAAACUAAUGCAGGAGAGCUGCAGAGACUGGUGGCUGUGACCCCACCCCUCCAGAGCCCUGCUGACUUCCUUUGAUCUCUUUCAUAAUGUACCCUAUGAAACAUCAUUAUCUUAGAGAACUCAUACAAGACUGCUACUCUAACUAUAAAGAUAAAAAUUUCACAACACUUAAAGGACAUUACCGUAAGUCACAAAUAAAACUGAUCUAAUAAAAAGUGAGUUGGAACUGAA